rnacentral:rRNA from 1 species
GGCGGGAUUACCCGCUGAGUUUAAGCAUAUCA